CAGGGAGGUCACUUGUUAAGAUGGUAUUAUGGUUGUCUUCGGUGGUUUCUAAAUUGAAAGACAUGGUGUUGUUUUGCCUCCUCUCGUUUGCUCAGUUCUCCUACGGUUCUUGUAGGUAGAAUGAUGUCUGGACAUCUGGGGACUACAUGUCGUUGUUGUGGACUGGCUUGGCAGCGAGAGUGGGACUCGCGCCUUCUUACCCUUUUUAAUGAAAUAAAUAAGACAACUCAAUUUGCUGGUUGGAACAAGGAUUGUAAUGUUUAUUAUUUUUCUUUUCUUUUUGAUCAUAAAAUAUCACAG
rnacentral:lncRNA from 1 species